GACUGCUAGGACUUUUCUUGUGAAGGCGAACCUCAUUCAACUAUUGUGGCUAUUCCUUGUGGCUAGCUUCACACAGUUGUCCUGCUCAGCUUCGAAGAUGCUGCAGUCAGAUGCACUGCGGUAAAAAAUAACGCCAGACAGGGAGGGAGAAAGAAGUUUGUAUUAUUCGCAAUGCCAGCCCGUGAGAAAUAUCCAGGGUCCUUUGAUGCGUGGGAUAAUUUUUGCCACUCAAAAGAACAGCGCUUCAUUAAAUAAUUUGUUGAUCCUUCAAAAGGAAAGGAUAGGCUACAUUUUUCCCCGGAGAACGGACAAAUCGGGAUAAGGAGGCUAUUUCUUUCAGAAGGGACAACGUGAGGGCAGUAAAAUGUGAGACAAUGCAAAAUAUGAUUAUUUAAACCAAAUAGUGCAAUAAAACAUUUACAGUGUUCCUAAAAAAAAUAUAGAUAUAUAAUUGGUAUGUAGCUUAUGUAGCCUAGGUCGUCUUUCAUAUGGCAUGCAAUUCAUUAUUAAUGUAGCCUAUUCUGUGGCAUGCGAUUUCACAUUAGCCUAUUUAGCCAGAUUAUUCAAAUAAGCAUAAUAUAUAAACUAAUUUCAAAGCUAUGCCAUCUUUAGUGGUGCACUGCCUUUAUAACCAUGUGAAUAUCAUUUAGAACUAGGCCUAUUAUUCUAAUAGAACAUCAGACUACAGUUGGUAUAAAUAGCCUGUAAAGAUAAUAAUAGCUCAGUGUAAUUGAUAUUAAGACUUCAGGGAACUGAUAAUCCCAGGCCAGUGUGUAGAUUUGUAAACACUUUGUGUCAACAAAGAUCUGGAACAAUAGAAAAAUAUGACCAUAAUCACAGCUAUAGUUUAGCGAUACACUGAGCUCCAAAAGUAUUGGGACAGUGACUCAUUUUUUGGUUGUUUUGGCUUUGUACUCCAGCACUUUGGAUUUGAAAUGAUACAAUGACUAUGAGGUUAAAGUGCAGACUGUCAGGGGUAUUUUCAUCCAUAUCUGUUGACCCGUUUAGGAAUUACAGCAUGUUUUGUACAUAGUCACCCCAUUUUAUGGGAUCUAAAGUAUUGGGACAAAUUCACUUAUAUGUGUAUUAAAGUUGUCAAACAUUUAGUGUUUGGUCCCAUAUUCCUAGCAUGCAAUGAUUACAUCAAGCUUGUGACUUCAGAUUAUUUUGUGUCCAAUAUAAAUGAAUGGUGUGUGUAAAUGUGGAGUCCCUUUUAUUGUAAAUAAGAAUAUAGUAUGUUUUGUAAACCCUUCUACAUUAAUGUGGAUGCUACCGUGAUUACAGAGAAUCCCGAAUAACUAUGUACAAAAAGGGCUAUAAUUAAACGGUUCACCUGAUUUGGAUGAAAAUACCUUCAAAUUAAAGCUGACAGACUGCACUUUAACCUCAUAGUCAUUAUAUAAUUUCAAAUCCAAAGUGCUAGAGUACAGAGCCAAAACAACAACAAAUGUGUGCUUGUUCUUCUGCUUGUUCUCUAGAAGGUCAGUUCUUAGCCUAUUGGCGUUUCAUAGUUUACACUUUAUUAGAGUGAGUAAUCAUCCACUCAAAGGAACAUUAUUUAAUUAAAAUCAACAAGCUCCAGAGUCUUCCUAUAACACUUUAAUUGUAAACAAAUAUUCAUGAUAAUACUUGCAUGUAUCCUCACUGUGCAUGGAAACAGUAGCCUAUGUAACAAAGUCAAUUAAUUAAUGCAAUAGUCUUUGAUGAAAAUAUUUUUUUCCAUUUAAAGAGAAGUGCAUGGCACCAAGAGCAUGGCACCAAGAAGCAUGGCACCAAGAGCAUGGCACCAAGAGCAUAGCACCAAGAGCAUAGCACCAAGAGCAUAAUAGCACCAAGAGCAUAAUAGCACCAAGAGCAUAAUAGCACCAAGAGCAUAAUAGCACCAAGAGCAUAAUAGCACCAAGAGCAUAAUAGCACCAAGAGCAUAAUAGCACCAAGAGCAUAAUAGCACCAAGAGCAUAAUAGCACCAAGAGCAUAAUAGCACCAAGAGCAUAAUAGCACCAAGAGCAUAAUAGCACCAAGAGCAUAAUAGCACCAAGAGCAUAAUAGCACCAAGAGCAUAGCACCAAGAGCAUAGCACCAAGAGCAUAGCACCAAGAGCAUAGCACCAAGAGCAUAGCACCAAGAGCAUAGCACUUGCAAAGCCAGGAUGGUGGGUUCCAUUCCCGGGACCACCAGUGAGUAAAAUGUAAUUUUGGAGGAAGCAACUUCAGUCCCUACCAUUUCUUACUUUGCUCAAACAACGUCUUCCUGGAUAACAUCUCAAAGGAAUAUCUUACAAUCAAGUGUUCAAAGAAGAGCCUUUUUUAGGCUUCUCAGCCCUAGGAUCUGUACUUUCAUUGCUACAUUACACUUAAGGACAUGUCUGCUGUGCGACUGCUGCUCCUGUUUCUGCUUUGUUCCCAUUUUGUUUCCCUGUGCCAUGGGGCCUGUUCAGAGGUGGACUCGGACACUGAGGCCGUUGCAGGCAAAGGGUUCAAACUGGGCUGCAUCUCCUGUAAGAUGAGGCCUGAGGUGGAGGCUUCUGCCACGGUCAACUGGUAUUUCAAGGCCAAAGGGGAAGCUGAAUUUGCUCAUCUCUAUCCUUUGGAUGUUGCCAGAUAUGGGUGGGGAUCUAGGAAGUGAACCGAGAGAUCUUCAGUGCCAGGGGAACAACCCAGAUUUCAUUGUGUCAUUAGAUAUAUAAUUACGAUGAGGAGGGCCCCCACAUUGUGGAUGAGCGCUUUGAGGAGCGCGUCGACUGGAACGGCAGUAAGAGGAGCCAAGACAUACAGGAUGCAUCCAUCUACCUCUUCAAUGUCACCUUCAAUGACUCGGGCACCUACAGUUGCCACUUCCACCGGCUCUUGACGUAUGAGUUCUACGAAUACCAGACUGUUGUCAGCAAGCUUGUGCACCUGAAAGUGGUGGCUAAAGCCACCAGAGGGACAGCCUCCAUAGUCUCUGAGGUGAUGAUGUAUGUGUCCAUCAUCGGGCUACAGGCUUGGCUCUACAUAGAGAUGGUAUACUGCUUCAGAAAGAUCUCAGCUGCAGGAGAGGAAGCAUUAAGAGAAAGCGCGAAUGCAGAAUAUUUAGCUAUAGCCUCAGAGAGUAAAGAUAACUGUGCAGGGGUGCAAGUGGCAGAAUAACCCAGGAAUGCAAAGGGAUUUCAUCUAUGUACUGGCCGCAUCAGCUAUACGACCCCUUGGAUCGCAUGAAGACAUCCUGAAGAUGCACAGUAUCUACACUUUCUGAGUCUUUAUUACUUUUCCUGUUACGUUAAUGGAUGUGAUAUGAUGACAUCAUUACUUUGAAAGUAGCAUGAUAUCAGCACCUCUGUAUGUAUUACACACAAAAGCAUGUAACUAAUUCAUCUAAUGAAUCCUUAUGUGUAUGAAUCCUUCAUCAAGGUAUUUUUUGGGUUGUAUCGAUCUCUCUCUAAAGUGAAUGUACAUUUAUAUUAAGAGUUAUUGUGAGAGAAUUAAUCUGAUUAAAUGGUUAUCAAGAGAGCUUUAUCACA